rnacentral:rRNA from 1 species
UGUUAUACUUAGACGUAAACAACCUAAGCACCAGAGAACUACGAACCUAAAGUUUAAAACUCAAAGGACUUGGCGGUUUUCCAAACCUCCCUGGAGGAGCUUGCCAUUGAAUCGAUAAUCCACGAAAUACCUCACCAGCUUUUGUAUAAUCAGCUUGUAUACCAUCGUCGUAAGUCUACUUCUCAAGAAAGUUGACCCCAAGGAAAUAUUCCUAGACGUCAGAUCAAGGUGCAGCAUAUGGGCUGGGGAUAGGUGAGCUACAAUGUUUGAAUAAACCAGCAAAAAUAGAAAUGAAAACUCUCUAGAAGUUGGAUUCAGCAGUAAGCCCCAAAUAGAUAGUGGGGCUGAAAAGAGCUCUGGAAUGCGUACACAUCGCCCGUCACUCUCGCCUAGCUUGUCUAAGUAAGGGGAGAAAAGUCGUAACACAAUAGGCACACCGGAAGGUGUGCCUGGAAAAUGCCCCUAUAGUUG